rnacentral:tRNA from 1 species
GUUUCCAUAGUGUAGUGGUUUUCACGUCCCUAGUGUAGUGGUUAUCUCACACGCUAAAAAGGUCCCAGUUCAAAACUGGGUGGAAACA